AUUGAACGCUGGCGGCAGGCCUAACACAUGCAAGUCUAACGAGUGGCGGACUGGUGAGUAAUUUCUGGGACACUGCCUGAUGGAGGGGGAUAACUACUGGAAACCGUAGCUAAUACCGCAUACCAUCGGAUGUGCCCAGAUGGGAUUAGCUAGUAGGUGGGGGAAAGGCUCACCUAGGCGACGAUCCCUAGCUGGUCUGAGAGGAGGACCAGCCACACUGGAAAUGAGACACGGUCCAGACUCCUACGGGAGGCAGCAGUGGGGAAUAUUGCACAAUGGGCGCAAGCCUGAUGCAGCCAUGCCGCGUGUGUGAAGAAGGCCUUCGGGUUGUAAAGUACUGUCAGCGGGGAGGCGUUACCCGCAGAAGAAGCACCGGCUAACUCCGUGCCAGCAGCCGCGGUAAUUC
rnacentral:rRNA from 1 species